UACGAAGGGGGCGAGCGUUGUUCGGAUUUACUGGGCGUAAAGGGCGCGCAGGCGGUUCUGUUUGUCGAGUGUGAAAGCCCCGGGCUCAACCUGGGAACUGCGCUCGAAACGGCGGAACUAGAGUUCGGGAGAGGAGAGUGGAAUUCCCAGUGUAGAGGUGAAAUUCGUAGAUAUUCGGAAGAACACCAGUGGCGAAGGCGGCUCACUGGCCCGUUACCGACGCUCAGGCGCGACAGCGUGGGGAGCAAACAGG
rnacentral:rRNA from 1 species